UCUCUCUUUCUCUCAUUUUUUCAGUGCACUGAUUCUUCAUCUCUUCGAUUCUUCACGCAAAAACAAAGCCACACUGGUUUCUCUCCUUUCAGGCACACUCAGUGUUGCGGAUUGUCAAGCAACCACUAGGAAAAUGGUAUUGUGUUCUUUAUUUCUCUAAUGUACUGUUAGUAUAUUUCUAGAUUUGCAUCCCUAGUGUGUGAUAAUUUACAUGCAAACUGUAAUGUAUUGUUGGUAUAUUUCAUGAUUUGUUGAAUGUAUGUGUGUUGUUAUA